rnacentral:rRNA from 1 species
UACGUAGGGGGCAAGCGUUGUCCGGAUUUAUUGGGCGUAAAGGGCGCGUAGGCGGUCGUGACAAGUCACUUGUGAAAUCUCCGGGCUUAACUCGGAACGGUCAAGUGAUACUGUCGGACUAGAGUACAGAAGGGGCAACUGGAAUUCUCGGUGUAGCGGUGAAAUGCGUAGAUAUCGAGAGGAACACCUGCGGCGAAGGCGGGUUGCUGGGCUGAUACUGACGCUGAGGCGCGAAAGCCAGGGGAGCAAACGGG